CAAUAGCGUAUAUUAAAGUUGUUGCAGCUAAAAAGCUCGUAGUUGGAUUUCUGGUAGGAGCGACCGUGCCGAACUUGAUUGUUCGAGUAUUGUGUUGUCUUCAGCCAUCCUCGUGGAGAACUUUUCUAACAUUAACUUGUUGGGAUUGGGACCCGCGUCGUUUACUGUGAAAAAAUUAGAGUGUUUAAAGCAGGCAUUAGCUUGAAUACAUUAGCAUGGAAUAAUAAGAUAGGACUUUGGUACUAUUUUGUUGGUUUGCAUACCAAAUUAAUGAUCAACAGGAACAGUUUGAGGAUAUUCGUAUGAACAUGUCAGAGGUGAAAUUCUUGGAUUUUGAUCAGACGAACUACUGCGAAAGCAUUUAUCAAGGAUGUUUUCAUUAA
rnacentral:rRNA from 1 species